GGAAGGGUGGCCGAGUGGUUGAAGGCGGCGGCCUCGAAAGCCGUUGAUGGGUAUUGCCCAUCCGCGAGUUCGAAUCUCGCCCCUUCCGCCA
rnacentral:tRNA from 1 species